rnacentral:rRNA from 1 species
AUUGAACGCUGGCGGCAGGCCUAACACAUGCAAGUCGAACGAGUGGCGGACGGGCGAGUAAUGUCUGGGAAACUGCCUGAUGGAGGGGGAUAACGACUGGAAACGGUAGCUAAUACCGCAUAUCAUCGGAUGUGCCCAGAUGGGAUUAGCUAGUAGGGGGGGUAACGGCUCACCUAGGCGACGAUCCCUAGCCGGGCUGAGAGGAUGACCCGCCGUCCUGGAACGUGGGCCCGGUCCAGAGGCCUACGGGAGGCGGCAGUUGGGAAUAUUGCACAAUGGGCGCAAGCCUGAUGCAGCCAUGCCGCGUGUAUGAAGAAGGCCUUCGGGUUGUAAAGUACUUUCGGCGGGGAGGCGUUACCCGCAGAAGAAGCACCGGCUAACUCCGUGCCAGCAGCCGCGGUAAUAC